UGGUCUCGAACUCCUGACCUCAUGAACCACCUUCCUUAGCCUCCCAAAGUGCUGGGUUACAGGCUUGAGUUUAGCUUUUUAAAGAACUGCCAUUUUUUUUUUCCACAGCAGCUGCAUCAUUUUGCAUUUCUACCAGCAAUGCAUGAGGGUUCCAUUUUAUCUGCAUCACUCUCAACACUUUGUGAAUGGCCAUCCAUAUUCUUCAGAGAAAUGUUUAUUCAAGACUGCUCCUCAGUUUUAAAUCAGGAAAUGAAAUACCUCCGUCUAUUGUCCUGAAGAGCAGUCAGUGUUUUGAAUCUCUAUGAGGGUUGGCUUCUUCACCUGCUAGGGAUAUGGCUGUCAGCAAGAGUUCAUCAGAAGGUAUUUGUAGCUUGGCUCCUUCUGAAGAUCCCAAGCAAUAUCAAUAUGUGAACCACUUUUCCAUGCUGGAGGCUGAAAAUACUGCCAUGAAUGAAAAACAGUUUCUUCUCUGAAAGAAAAGGCACUCCUGGGACUUUAUGUAAAUCCUUGACCAAAAUGAAACUUAACAUAGAUCAGCAUUAACUGUGUACCCUAUAUCAGUGAUGAACAUUACUACUGGCAUUCAUUAAUGAAAGACAUCACAUGUGUGUAUAUUUAUUACUAUGAAUAAGAAUCUUCCUUGCUCUGCUCUUCUUGUAUCAUUAUUAAAGGAUGAAUAAUACCCAGAGAGGUGGUUAAAGCUACUUAAUUGGGAUAUGAAUAAAUGAAAUGUUUAAUUAAGAAGGCCAAAUGCCAAGGAUUUGAAUUAGUUUAAUGCUUUUCUAGGACUUGACAUAAUACAUUACUGGUGGCUAGCAUUUACAAAAUGCUUUACUUUGAGACACAGGGUUAAUUGUUAAGCUUUGGCUUAAAACAAUCCAAUCUAUUAUCACUUUGUUUUAUAUUUUUUGUUUUUUUUCAUUGCUUAAAUUUGUAGAGAGGAAUCCUUAUUUUAAUAAAGUGUUUCCUACCUUAGGAUAUUCCAAACCUUUAUUAUUCACAAAUGCUCUUAUUUGAUUCCAAGUUCCAUAUAUUUUAAUAUACUCUGCAGGUACAAGAUUGAAAUGAUUUCUAAAUUGGCAGCUUUCAGUUUUUUCAGUGGCUUGCACAAAUUAAGAAAAUGUUAUUCUGCUUAUCAGGAGUGAGCUGGUUGUAGCUUGUGAUGUUUGUGCUGGUCUUUAAAAUAUCAGCCAUAGAAUCAUUUAUUGUCCAAUCAGAUAAAUUGGAAUGCUUCUAACACUGGCUGAAUUUUCAGGCUUUUUUUGUGAAAUAAAAUAAUAAAGGAUAGAAUAGUAAUAAAAACCAAUUGUACUGAUGCAUGACAUACAUUUGCAUUGCUCAGAUUUGUUCUGCUUCUCAUUCCUCCAACUAUUUCAUAAAAAAGCCAUCCAAAGUAGAAACUUGGUAAGUUUUUUAAAAUAAAGCUUAUGGACAAUACUCCUUAAAAAGAUAAUAUUUUUUUAAAAAAUUUGAGGCAUGUAUUUUAGAAUUCUUUGAAGACUCUGAAAUAAAAGAACAGGUAGAAUCAUAUUUUUUAGAACAGAUAGUGAUUUUAUGGGUAAUUCAACACAAAGCUUUCAUUUUACUUAUGAGGAUACUGAAAUUAAGAUAGAUUAAUUGACUUACAAAAGGUCUCUCAGAUAGAAUAGGCAUAAUAAAGAAUUACUAAUUCCUAAUCUAUUGAUAUUGGUUUUCUUGCACAUGACCUUUCUACAUGAACUUCAGGGUUAUCUUUUCUGAAUAUUAUUAUGUGUUUUAUAGUCAGGGAUACAGAAGGCUAAAAUAAUAUUUUCUUCACAGCCAAAAGUUUUGUGUAUCAGUUUUAAGGGUUAUUUUAAUGGUCCUUGAUAUAUUAUGACAUUUGGAGAUUCACAUGCACAUCACAAGUGCAAUUGGAUACAGGUUAGUUGUAUGACCCAAGUGUUCAACUAGAAUUGGAUUCCUUUCUGUCUCUAAAGGUAUACAUUUUGAGAUUUAUAGAAAGAAAAUACCUUUAGCAUUGUUUGUACAUCCACCAAUAAAGUUUUUUAAAAAUAUAAUUUAAUCUUAAUGUUUCAAUUCUGAGAAGUGGGCACAUGGGGUUUUUAAAAUUGUUCUGUGUAGUUUUUGUUUUGUUUUCAAGUAAAUUAAUUUUGUAAAGUCAAAAAAGUGAAAUUAUAUGUUAAAAUAUUUUUGCUAUAAUAAAGCCAGUAUUGCUCAAUAGAAUAUUGUCUUCUUAUAAUAUAUGUUAAGUAUAACUUCAAAGGAUAGAAACUUGCUACUAUGAACAUUCUUAGAAAAAAUAAUUCUGUAACAAUAUAGUAACAUCAGUAACAAUUUAAACAUUAGGUCUCCCCCACUUACGGUGGCAUAAAGUGUAUAUAAGGAGGUAUCUCAUUGUGAUUUUGAUUUACAUUGCCAUCAUGACUAAAGACGUUGAGCAUCUUUUCAUGUGCUUUUUUGACAUUUGUAUAUAAUGUAUUCAAAUUUCUUGCCCAUUCUAAAAUUGGGUUAUUCCACUCCUAGAUAUAUGACCAAUAGUAAGUUUAAAACAUCAUGAAAAAUUUUGAAUAUAAUGUUCAUAUUAGCUUUAUCCAUAAUAGCCAAAAGAGAAAACAAUCCAAAUGUCCAUUAACUGAAUAAUGGAUAAACAAAAUGUGGUAUUGUUUUAUUGCCAAACAAUAUUUCACAUAUAAUGAAAUAUUGUUUGGCAAUAAAAGUAAAUUAUUAUAUGUGAAAUAUUGU